rnacentral:rRNA from 1 species
UCCUGGCUCAGGAUGAACGCUGGCGGUAUGCUUAACACAUGCAAGUCGAACGGUGUCUUCGGACACAGUGGCGGACGGGUGAGUAACGCGUGAGAAUCUGCCUCUAGGUUGGGGACAACAGUUGGAAACGACUGCUAUACCCAAUGUACCGUAAGGUGAAAGAUUUAUUGCCUGGAGAGGAGCUCGCGUCCGAUUAGCUAGUUGGUGAGGUAAAGGCUUACCAAGGCAUCGAUCAGUAGCUGGUCUGAGAGGAUGAGCAGCCACACUGGGACCGAGACACGGCCCAGACUCCUACGGGAGGCAGCAGUGGGGAAUUUUCCGCAAUGGGCGAAAGCCUGACGGAGCAAUACCGCGUGAGGGAGGAAGGCCUUUGGGUUGUAAACCUCUUUUCUCAGGGAAGAAGAUCUGACGGUACCUGAGGAAUAAGCAUCGGCUAACUCCGUGCCAGCAGCCGCGGUAAUACGGAGGAUGCAAGCGUUAUCCGGAAUCAUUGGGCGUAAAGCGUCCGCAGGUGGUUUUUCAAGUCUGCUGUUAAAGACUGGAGCUCAACUCCGGAAAGGCAGUGGAAACUGAGAAACUAGAGUUCGGUAGGGGUAGCGGGAAUUCCCAGUGUAGCGGUGAAAUGCGUAGAUAUUGGGAAGAACAUCGGUGGCGAAGGCGCGCUACUGGACCGAGACUGACACUCAGGGACGAAAGCUAGGGUAGCGAAAGGGAUUAGAUACCCCUGUAGUCCUAGCUGUAAACGAUGGAAACUAGGUGUGGCUUGUAUCGACCCGAGCCGUGCCGUAGCUAACGCGUUAAGUUUCCCGCCUGGGGAGUACGCACGCAAGUGUGAAACUCAAAGGAAUUGACGGGGGCCCGCACAAGCGGUGGAGUAUGUGGUUUAAUUCGAUGCAACGCGAAGAACCUUACCAGGGCUUGACAUGUCGCGAAUCUUGGUGAAAGCUGAGAGUGCCUUCGGGAGCGCGAACACAGGUGGUGCAUGGCUGUCGUCAGCUCGUGUCGUGAGAUGUUGGGUUAAGUCCCGCAACGAGCGCAACCCUCGUCUUUAGUUGCCAGCAUUAAGUUGGGCACUUUAGAGAGACUGCCGGUGACAAACCGGAGGAAGGUGGGGAUGACGUCAAGUCAGCAUGCCCCUUGCGCCCUGGGCUACACACGUACUACAAUGGUUGGGACAAAGGGCAGCAAACCCGCGAGGGUAAGCGAAUCUCAUCAAACCCAGCCUCAGUUCAGAUUGCAGGCUGCAACUCGCCUGCAUGAAGGAGGAAUCGCUAGUAAUCGCAGGUCAGCAUACUGCGGUGAAUUCGUUCCCGGGCCUUGUACACACCGCCCGUCACACCAUGGAAGCUGGUCACGCCCGAAGUAGUUACCCUAACCUUUCGGGGGGGGGGACUCCUAAGGCAGGGCUAGUGACUGGGGUGAAGUCGUAACAAGGUA